rnacentral:rRNA from 1 species
AUUGAACGCUGGCGGCAGGCUUAACACAUGCAAGUCGAGCGAGCGGCGGACGGGUGAGUAAUGUCUGGGGAUCUGCCUGAUAGAGGGGGAUAACUACUGGAAACGGUGGCUAAUACCGCAUACUAUCGGAUGUACCCACAUGGGAUUAGCUAGUAGGUGGGGUAAAGGCUCACCUAGGCGACGAUCACUAGCUGGUCUGAGAGGAUGACCAGCCACACUGGAACUGAGACACGGCCCAGACUCCUACGUGAGGCAGCAGUGGGGAAUAUUGCACAAUGGGCGCAAGCCUGAUACAGCCAUGCGGCGUGUAUGAAGAAGGCCUUAGGGUUGUAAAGUACUUUCAGCGGGGAGGCGUUACCCGCAGAAGAAGCACCGGCUAACUCCGUGCCAGCAGCCGCGGUAAUAC